CCCUUAGAUGUUCUGGGCCGCACGCGUGCUACACUGAUGCAUUCAACGAGUCUAAAACCUGGUCUGAUAGGGCUGGGUAAUCUUUUGAAAGUGCAUCGUGAUUGGGAUAGAUGAUUGCAAUUCUUCGUCUUCAACGAGGAAUGCCUAGUAAACGCAAGUCAUCAGCUUGCAUUGAUUACGUCCCUGCCCUUUGUACACACCGCCCGUCGCUCCUACCGAUUGAAUGAUCCGAUGAAUACCAUGGAUUGAGAGUACGAAUAGGUUCGCUUAUUUCUGCUGCUCGAGAAGUGGAGUAAAUCUUAUCAUUUAGAGGAAGGAGAAGUCGUAACA
rnacentral:rRNA from 1 species